CUACGGGGUGCUCCAGUGGGGAAUAUUGGACAAUGGGGGAAACCCUGAUCCAGCAAUGCCGCGUGUGUGAAGAAGGCCUGCGGGUUGUAAAGCACUUUCGGUUGGGAGGACUGCUUCUAGCACUAAUAUUGUUGGAAGUUGACGUUACCUUCAGAAGAAGCACCGGCUAACUCCGUGCCAGCAGCCGCGGUAAUACGGAGGGUGCAAGCGUUAAUCGGAAUUACUGGGCGUAAAGCGCGCGUAGGCGGCUAGAUCAGUCGGGUGUGAAAGCCCCGGGCUUAACCUGGGAACUGCAUCCGAUACUGGCUAGCUUGAGUACAGGAGAGGAGAGUGGAAUUCCACAUGUAGCGGUGAAAUGCGUAGAUAUGUGGAGGAACACCAAUGGCGAAGGCAGCUCUCUGGCCUGAUACUGACGCUGAGGUGCGAAAGCGUGGGGAUCAAACAGGAUUAGAUACCCUAGUAGUC
rnacentral:rRNA from 1 species